AUACGGAGGAUCCGAGCGUUAUCCGGAUUUAUUGGGUUUAAAGGGUGCGCAGGCGGCCAUUUAAGUCAGCGGUUAAAUCGUGGGGCUCAACCCCAUUCUGCCGUUGAUACUGGGUGGCUUGAUUGCGGUCGAGGUUGGCGGAAUUCGUUGUGUAGCGGUGAAAUGCAUAGAUAUGACGAAGAACACCGAUUGCGUAGGCAGCUGACCAGCACGAAAAUGACGCUCAUGCACGAAAGUGCGGGGAUCGAACAGGAUUAGAUGCCCUGGUAGUGCGCACAGUAAACGAUGAAUACUUGUUUUCGGCGAUAUAACGUCGGAGGCAAAGCGAAAGCGAUAAGUAUUCCCCCUGGGGAGUACGCCGGCAACGGUGAAACUUAAAGGAAUUGGCGGGG
rnacentral:rRNA from 1 species